rnacentral:rRNA from 1 species
GUCGAGCGACGAAAGGGCCUUCGGGCCCCUGAAAGCGGCGAACGGGUGAGUAACACGUGGGUAACCUACCCUCGGUUUCGGGAUAGCCCGGGGAAACUCGGAUUAAUACCGAAUGGCCUCUAGGGUUCUCGGAUCCUGGAGAAAAGGUAGCUUCGGCCUCCGACCGAGGACGGGCCCGCGGCCGAUUAGCUUGUUGGCGGGGUAACGGCCCACCAAGGCGACGAUCGGUAGCUGGUCUGAGAGGACGAUCAGCCACACUGGGACUGAGACACGGCCCAGACUCCUACGGGAGGCAGCAGUAGGGAAUCUUGCGCAAUGGGCGAAAGCCUGACGCAGCGACGCCGCGUGCGGGAAGAAGGCCUUCGGGUUGUAAACCGCUUUCAGGAGGGACGAAGCCACUCGGGUUAAUAGCCCAGAGGGUGACGGUACCUCCAGAAGAAGCCCCGGCUAACUACGUGCCAGCAGCCGCGGUAAUACGUAGGGGGCAAGCGUUGUCCGGAUUUAUUGGGCGUAAAGAGCGUGUAGGCGGCCAUGUAGGUCCGAUGUGAAAGCUGGGGGCUCAACCUCCAGCUGUCAUCGGAAACCAUGUGGCUAGAGUCCGGAAGAGGAGAGUGGAAUUCCUGGUGUAGCGGUGAAAUGCGCAGAUAUCAGGAAGAACACCUAUGGCGAAGGCAGCUCUCUGGGACGGUACUGACGCUGAGGCGCGAAAGCGUGGGGAGCGAACAGGAUUAGAUACCCUGGUAGUCCACGCCGUAAACGAUGGGCGCUAGGUGUGGGCGGUGUCGACUCCGUCCGUGCCGCAGCUAACGCAUUAAGCGCCCCGCCUGGGGAGUACGGCCGCAAGGCUAAAACUCAAAGGAAUUGACGGGGGCCCGCACAAGCAGCGGAAGCAUGUGGUUCAAUUCGACGCAACGCGAAGAACCUUACCAGGCUGACAUGCACGGGAAAACGUGGAAACACGUCCCCGCAGGUCGUGC